GAUAGAAUUCAGGUCAUUCCCAGAUAUGAGCAUGAUUCACUGAAACAGCACCAUGUGAAUUACAAUUUGAACAAUUGGAAACCUCUGGCCUGGCUAGACUGGUGAGGGCAUUCUAGACAGACAGAAAAGUGUGCCUGAAAGGUGGGAAACCAAGGAUUGUGCAGAGGUGCCUAUGGGUGCAUGUGGUGAACAGAUCAGACCUCGGAGAACCUUCCAUGUCCAUUCUCAGAUACCGGUGUCCAAGACAGACACAGCCAGUAGGAGGCAACACGGUUCUUCCCUAGAGAUGGGACACCACACAGUCCCCAGGUAAACGAUACCCCCUGCAGCCUGGUGGAUAGUUCAAGAAAGCUGUUUUGGGGAAUGAAAAAGGACACCCCACCUUCCACCUCAUCCUACCACACUCCCUAUUCCACCGUUCACGCCUGCCCUGGCCUGGUGAAUGCCAAAGCAAUGCUGUAAGAGAGACCCAGGGCUUUAGCCCUCAAUUCAGCCACAUUCAUGAGUCAUGAGUCAUGAGGAACAUGAGUCAUGAGGAACAGUCAUGAGGAACACAUUCAUGAGUCAUGAGGAACAGACGCCGAACCUCAAUGGGGCCCCAAGUCAGCAAGGGAUGCACCUGCCCCAGCACUUCUGGAAGCUCUGGCACUGUGUUCAGUGCCCUCAUACCCUGGUCACCAAGCCCCAGGAGAUGGUUUUCUACCCAAUUACCAACUAAGACAAACGUGGCAGGACACUACAGCGCUGGGAGCCACAGACCCUGGCCACCAGCCCAGAAGCAGACUCGCAGCUCUGACAUUUUCAACAGGUAGAUAGGAGCAGCGAACAGAUUCAAACUCCCUCUCAUCCUCAUCUCUCACCAGCUGGACGACAUUGCUGUGCAGGGACAGCGUCUCAGACAUAGACAGUGCUUCUUGAAUCAUUUGUCUUUCUGGGGCCUUCCAAGUUGGGUUAUUUUGUCCUAUCCUUUCUAGUGACUGCAUACUGAUACUUUCCCCUUUUUCUCUUGCUUCCUGCCAACUUAACUUUAUCCAGGAUGGUCUUUGCAUUUGUUGUGCCCCCAACUCUCCAACCGCUAUUCUUUUGUAGAUUUUUUGGACAGAUUUCAUUUUACCUUCCGCACAGGCAUCUGACCAUCCCCUGACGUCUGAUGUCUUCUCCCCUCCCAGGCCUGAGUGCCUGAUCAUUCCCUCAAGAAUCUUGCAGAAAGGCCAUCUUCCCUGGCUACUCCCAAAUGGAGUUCAAAGCUCCCCUUUUCUGCUACCUUGGUACUCAACAGAACUCAUCAUGUGGGCAAGAGUCUGUCCCUCUUCUUAGAUAAGGAGUUUCCAGACGCUGUGGCCAGGUCUUCUCUCUUCAUCAUCCCAGUGUGCGACAUGGGGCCUGGUUCAUCAUACGUAUCAACACAGUUGGCUAAAUGGAUGGAUGCACAAGGUAGACUGAAUGAAGGACCAUUUCACUAACUUCAUUUGUCUCUCCUAGAGCAGCUGCCACCACCAUCUGUUACAAAACCUUCAAACUGAAAUGUUACUUCAAUUCCUUUCCAACACUUUCUGCCUACCCAAGCCAGGGGAUGCCUCCUUCACAGAGCUGGUCAUCUGUGGGUAGCAGAAGAUAAGUGAAUGCACCAUGUCCCUCAGACCUUUGAAGAUACAGCUUGGGGGUCUUGCUGGGGUAAAGUGGUCCUGGCUCCAUUCCCUGGCUGCUUCAUGUUCCCAAGGGUCAUACAAAGACCCAGAGUCUGAGACUGCAGAAAACCCCAAGACGGCCCUAUCUCCUUCUCCUUGGCUGUCACUCAGAUUCCCACCUAAACCUCCUCCAACUCCAUGACUCUAAACACAGGAUAGACUGAAGCAUUCUCUUCUAGUUCUACUGGUAAAUAUAACUGUCAGAAGAUUUUUCCAAAAGCAGGCAGUGAGAGAAAAAUCAUAAAGGCAGCAAAGUCCUCGUUAGGGAAUAGAAAAGUUGGAUUUGUCACCAAAUGAACCAAGAUUCCCCUACAGUCACCCCAGAAAAUACAGCCUGAGUGUAUCGAGAUAGUCAUCUGAGCACUCGCAGAUGUCUCCUUCCCGCUUCCAGACCCCUAAAGUGACAGGGCAGGGGUUAAAACACAAAGAUCACAGGGUUGAGAACCAAGGAGAGGACCAUCACUGGGCUCCUUUUCUAAAAUCCCUAUGCUAGAUAUAUAACAUUUAUUUAAUAAGAAAAACAGAAACAAUGAAAACAAUCUGGCCAGGUGUGGUGGCUCACGCCUGUAAUCCCAGCAUUUUGGGAGGCCGAGGUGGGCAGAUCACUGAGGUCAGGAGUUCAAGACCAGCCUGGCCAACAUGGUGAAACCCCGUCUCUACUAACAAUACAACCAUUAGCCGAGGCUGGUGGUGGGUGCCCAUAAUCUCAGCUACUCGGAAGGCUGAGGCAGGAGAAUUGCUUAAACGUGGGAGGUGGAGGUUGCAGUGAGCCAGGAUCACACCACUGCACUCCAGCCUGGGCAACACAGUGAAACUCUGUCUCAAAAAAAAUAAAAAUAAAAAUAAAAAACAA